rnacentral:rRNA from 1 species
UACGGAGGGUGCGAGCGUUAAUCGGAAUUACUGGGCGUAAAGGGUGCGUAGGUGGUUUAAUAAGUUAGCUGUGAAAUCCCUGGGCUUAACCUGGGCAGGUCAGCUAAGACUGUUAGACUAGAGUAUAGGAGAGGGUAGUGGAAUUUCCGGUGUAGCGGUGAAAUGCGUAGAGAUCGGAAGGAACACCAGUGGCGAAGGCGGCUACCUGGCCAGAUACUGACACUGAGGCACGAAAGCGUGGGGAGCAAACAGG